GACGAACGCUGGCGGCGUGCCUAAUACAUGCAAGUCGAGCGCAGGAAAUCGACGGAACCCUUCGGGGGGAAGUCGACGGAAUGAGCGGCGGACGGGUGAGUAACACGUAAAGAACCUGCCCUCAGGUCUGGGAUAACCACGAGAAAUCGGGGCUAAUACCGGAUGGGUCAUCGGACCGCAUGGUCCGAGGAUGAAAGGCGCUUCGGCGUCGCCUGGGGAUGGCUUUGCGGUGCAUUAGCUAGUUGGUGGGGUAAUGGCCCACUAAGGCGACGAUGCAAGGCGGACCGGAGGGGGUGAUCGGCCACACUGGGACUGAGACACGGCCCAGACUCCUACGGGAGGCAGCAGUAGGGAAUCUUCCACAAUGGACGAAAGUCUGAUGGAGCAACGCCGCGUGAACGAUGAAGGCCUUCGGGUCGUAAAGUUCUGUUGUAAGGGAAGAACAAGUGCCGCAGGCAAUGGCGGCACCUUGACGGUACCUUGCGAGAAAGCCACGGCUAACUACGUGCCAGCCGCCGCCGUAA
rnacentral:rRNA from 1 species